UUGUGGGCUGAGGCAGAACCUCAUACAGCUCCCAGGGGCUUCUCUCCAUAGCAGCACGCCAGCCCCAGCCGGGCCUGACCGAUGGAGGGCAUUCCAGGUGGGGGAUGGCUGAGGUGUGGCUGGUCAGAGUAUCAGAACUGUGGGGUGCCUGACCUGUUUGCCCUGGCCUAGUGGGGGGCAGGGCAGGGUAGGGCAAGCUCUAACAGACAGGCCCCAGCCCGCCAGCCCUGCCAGAACCCCAGCACUCGGAGGCAGCCUCCGGAUCAAGUUCCAGCAGGGCGUGUGAGUGCGUGAGAAGGUUCAACGGAAGGAGAAGGCGGAAGCUGUCAGAUCGAGUGCAGAUUUAUCAAGAAAGCUGAGGGGAGCGGCCUGCAGCACAGUUCUGCAAGCAAAGACUGCAGUCCUUGGUGCCGCCAACACUGCCUGUUAAAGUAAAGCUCUGGCUCUUCAGGACAAGAUGGGGAGGCAUUUCCUGCUGAGGAAUGGCAUGCGCAAUGAACAGCAGAGCUCCCCACGUGGGGAUCUUGUACCUGAACCAAAACAAGCAAAGCUGCUAAUCUGUGGAGAUCAGUCUUCAAAUACCACAGGAAUGUAGCCUGCCUGCUUGCACCAGGGGCUGGGCCAGCUGCUAAGCUCCCGGGGCUCCGGGGCUCCUGCUAUCCGGUGGCUGGGAGCGCGGAGCUGGACCUGCCGAGGAAGAAGCUGCUCUCAGCUGGUGUCUGGUCUGCCUGCCGAAGCCUUAAACUUCAGUCACAGACUGACCACUCCUCACUCUUGUUUAAAGGCUGCUGGCCUUUCCAGGGCAUAUAAGCUGGAAUAAGUGUCUCCCUGCACUGCCUUACUCUGCAGGCAUACCGGUUCCACCUUCUCCCAGAGCCUGUGCUCUGCCCAGCACGGUCCAAUGCUGCUCAAGGUUUGUGAAGAACCAACUGGUUCUGUUCUUUACACUUCGGUUCUGUCCCAGAAUGAUAAUUGUACAAAAAUAUAACAAAGAAGAACCACAGGGAAAUUAAACACCCGUGGAAAAUGUAAGCCCCAUCUCAAAAUUAUUAGGCUCAUCAGCAUAAACUCACUGUGAUUGCUAUGAAAGUUUCCAAAACUUUAAUCUGUUUGUAGAAAACUGUGAUGCGGACCAAUUCGUAUCAUUUUUCACUCCAUGAUACAGCACCGAUUCUGAGAUGACUGAUACCCAGUCUGGGGCAUUCUGCUGAGGCUGCUGCCUGCUUUACCCUCAGGUGGAAAUUAUGGAGGCUGAGCUAGAGCGCCGCAGGCCCUGGCCUGGCAGCUGUGAAGAGCAUAGUAAAAACGCCUUAGACCUGUAAAGAUAGCUCAGUCAGGGGCCCUUACUACACACAACCAAGGCUGCACCCGAGAACAAGAACUCAGUGGUGUCACUCACUCAAGGUAACCAGACCCAGUCCUGGAACCCCAUGAUGCUCACGGGACAGUAUACAAGCAGAGACCAAGAGCCAUGAUGUUCUGAACAUCUGGAGAGAUACCCCUGAUCUGCUCUGCAGCAGAGGGUCUCCACCAGGAUCCUGACUCUUGAAUCACAGACCGGUUAAAGAUUGGACCUAACCUUCAGCUAAGGUGAGCAGCCUUGGAGAGAUAGGCUUAGGGACCAUAGUUAGGAAUUUAGAGUGCGAUCUUAUGUAAUGACCGUCGGCAUAAUAAAAUACACCACUGGCUGCACCUGCA